GUGGGGAAUUUUGGACAAUGGGCGAAAGCCUGAUCCAGCCAAGCCGCGUGCAGGAUGAAGGCCUUCGGGUUGUAAACUGCUUUUGUACGGAACGAAAAGACUUCUUCUAAUACAGGAGGUCCAUGACGGUACCGUAAGAAUAAGCACCGGCUAACUACGUGCCAGCAGCCGCGGUAAUACGUAGGGUGCAAGCGUUAAUCGGAAUUACUGGGCGUAAAUCGUGCGCAGGCGGUUAUAUAAGACAGAUGUGAAAUCCCCGGGCUCAACCUGGGAACUGCAUUUGUGACUGUAUAGCUAGAGUACGGUAGAGGGGGAUGGAAUUCCGCGUGUAGCAGUGAAAUGCGUAGAUAUGCGGAGGAACACCGAUGGCGAAGGCAAUCCCCUGGACCUGUACUGACGCUCAUGCACGAAAGCGUGGGGAGCAAACAGGAUUAGAAACCCCUGUAGUCC
rnacentral:rRNA from 1 species